UACGUAGGCAGCGAGCGUUGUUCGGAGUUACUGGGCGUAAAGAGUGCGUAGGCGGUUUUCUAAGUUUGGUGUGAAAUCUCCCGGCUCAACUGGGAGGGUGCGCCGAAGACUGGAAGGCUUGAGUAUGGGAGAGGUAAGCGGAAUUCCUGGUGUAGCGGUGGAAUGCGCAGAUAUCAGGAGGAACACCAAUAGCGAAGGCAGCUCGCUGGGACGGUACUGACGCUAAGGCGCGAAAGCGUGGGGAGCGAACAGG
rnacentral:rRNA from 1 species